GUGUGUGUGUGUGUGUGUGUGUGUGCUUGUUGAGUCUUCAGUCGUCAGUGAAAUUGUGUUAAAAAGUGUUAAAGGUACAGUGUGUAGGAUUUGGCGUUAUCUAGUGGUCAUUCUCUCUAGAGCCAGUGUUUGGUUUGUCCGUUCUGGGCUACUGUAGAAACAUGGCGGACUCUGUGAAGAGGACCCGCUCCCUAUGUAGAUAUGAAGGAAGGGCUCAUUCUAGGCUAACGAAACAAAAUGAUUCUUAGUUUCAGGUGAUUAUACACUAAUGAAAACAUAGUAAUGCAUAUUAUAUUCCAUUUCUGCUAAUAGAUCCCCUGAAAGGUUACACACUGUUCCUUUAA